GCUCUUCUAGUAUAUCCAUUACAACAGACUUCCAAUCUCUAGAAUCUGGUGCAACCCCAGAGAAGAGCA
rnacentral:tRNA from 1 species